rnacentral:misc_RNA from 1 species
GAUGAAGAACGUAGCGAAAUGCGAUAAGUAAUGUGAAUUGCAGAAUUCAGUGAAUCAUCGAAUCUUUGAACGCACAUUGCGCCCGUCGGCACUCCGGCGGGCAUGCCUGUCCGAGCGUCAUUUCAACCCUCAGGACCCCCUUCCGGGGGGGACCUGGCGCUGGGGAUCAGCGGCCUCCGGGCCCCUGUCCCCAAAUGCAGUGGCGGUCGCGCCGCAGCCUCCCCUGCGUAGUAGCACACCUCGCACCGGAGAGCGGCUCGGCCACGCCGUGAAACCCCCAAUUUUUCAAGGUUGACCUCGGAUCAGGUAGGAAUACCCGCUGAACUUAAGCAUAUCAAUAAGCGGAGGA